CUCCCUCCCCAGCUGACUCUGAUUAGGUUAUGCUGGUGGGAGGCCCAGGUUGAGCCUCCAAUGGGGAGCCUCUUUGUUGGUUCCAACACCAGCACCCAAGACCCUUUGGUGGUUCCAUGCUAAUUCCCGCAGGUUCUGGCCCCUCCGCUAUGGUUCUGGGCUGUGUUAACAUCUCUUCUCCAUUUUGUUUUUCCAGACUUAGGGGUGGUGUUAUGGGCUCAGUUACGCCCCACCCCCAAUUUAUAUGCUGAAGUCCUAACCCCUUAAUACCUCAGAAUGUGACUGUAUUUGGAGAUAGGGUGCUUAAAGAGGUAAUUAAGUGUAAAUGAGGUCAUUAGGGUGGACCCUAAUCCAAUAUGACUCAUGUCCUUAUAAGAAGAGGAGGUUAGCACACAGGCACACAUAGAGGGAAGUCCAGGUGAACACACAGGGACCAGAUGCCACCUAAAGCCAACGAGAGAGAUCUCAGAAGAAACCAACCCUGCCAGCACCUUGAUCUCAGACUUCUGACCCCCAAAACUGUGAGAAAAUACAUUUUCGUUGGUUAAGCCACCAGGUCUGUGGUAUUUUGUUAGGGCAGCCCUAGCAUAUAAUUACAGGUGGUAUCUGUUCACCUCUGAGUUAACCUGCUGCCUCUGCUUGGCUUUCUCAGAUCUUUUAUGGGGCCAAAUUCUUAUAUUAAAUUCCUUAUUUGAAAUACAGACAUUGAAGAAAGGAUAUGGUGAUUUUUCUUUUUGGUACUUCAUUAAGAAACAUUCUUUUUGUAAACUAAUGUCAAGAGCUAUUUAAGGAAAACAAAAUGCUCACAUUGAAAACUGAACAAUUUAUAAUGCUGAUUUUUUUUUUUUUUUUUUUUUGCUCCUUACCCUCACGGGUCUCAAAUUUUCUUUUCUCAACUUACAUUUAGACCUCUGCCAAUUGUUUCCUCAGAAACAGUAGUUAGGUGGCCUCUUCCCUGGCUGUCUAAGCUGCUUGGGCUGAGUCCUUACCCUUAUUUGGCAGGUCCCAGUAAAUGCUGCUGAAGGGAGUAAGGUAUAGGCAGCUACCAGAGACCUUAUCACGAGUGAACCUUAAGCCUUGUUAAAUGAGAUAAAUGUUGCCACAAUCUUGCCCACUCAUGGACUUGGAUAACUCGUACCAGUUCCUUUAGGAUUUCCCUCUGGUAUUGUAUUCUCUAGAAAUCUUCUCUUCCUAUCUCUUCCCCCAAAGACAGGGAUCCCAGGGUAUGGAUUCUGAGAAGGAGUCUUAUUGGCGAGCGCCCUUGGGAGCGCCACCGUGAAGGAGUGAGGACUACUGACGGGACAGAGGGAGAAGUCGAAUAGCACUGCGGUUGCACAAGCACCGUCAACUAACCCUCUCGGCCAUGAUGGCGCAGGAGGUCCACUGUGGGCCACGGAAUGUGAGCUGCGCCCCCUGGGAGGACGCAUGACCUCAGCUGAAACAUGGAUGAUAUGGGAGGGCAGUGAACCAGCUUUUACCUUGCAACAUGAAGUCGGUACUCCAGGGGAACAGGACAACAAGGGAACCAGCAACAAUGUAACUAAGAAAGCAAAGGAGUAAAUAGCUUCUAUUCCAGAAGAAAAACAAAGCCACCACUGCUUUGCAAUACUUUUCCCUACUUCUCAGCAAUUUUCCAAUUUACAUAAACAGUUUCUGACAGUGUGCAAUGCCUUCUAAUUAGGUUACAUACCACUGUUUCAGAACUGUGGAAGACUUUGCUGUCCACUCACAUCCUCUCUUAAUGCUACUUUGAACUGGAAUGAGUAUUUUAAUUCAAGACUGGCUUGCCUCUAUUUCCCUCCCAUCCUGUCAGGAGACAGAUAUGUGCCAGGAAUGUGGAGUGAAAAGUGGGAGGGAGCUUUCAGCUUUCAGAUGGUGUUAUAUUUGUCCGUGUAAGAUAUCUCCAGGGAGCUGGUGGAGGUAAGAAAGCGGGUUGAGGAGUAACUAAGAGAAGGUCGAAGGAUUUCAAGGAGUGAAGGAAGGGACCCAUUAACUGUAAUGCGGCAGAAACAGCAAGAAUCACCAGGAUAUGCUGCCCCCUGCAGGAUUGUUUGGUAAAAACACACCAGUUAAAAUUGACUACUUAAACGUUAAACAAUCUCAGUGUUGACAGGAUGUGAGCAAUAGAAAUGCUCAUAUUCUUCUGGUAGGGUGUUAUUUGGUAAUGUCUAGAAAAGCUGAAGAUGUACAUUCCCUACAUCCCAGAAAUCUCACUCUUACGUAAACAUCCUAGAGAUACUCCCCCAUGUUUGGAUAAGGAGACAUGUAUAGGAGUGUCCCUUGUUGUGCUAUUUGUGACAGCAAGAAAUUGGAAACAACCCAAAUAUUCAUCAACAGAAAAAUGUAAACCUCAGUUGGGGUAUAUUCCUACCAUGAAAUGCUAUAUACAGUAAUUUAAAAGUAACAAGUUCACAUUAACCAACAUGGAUUCAUCUCAAGAAUAUAAUUUGGAGAGACACAUUCCUGCAUAAGGAUACAUAAUAUGAUACCACUUGUAUAUAUAAAGUUUGAAAACACAUAAAAUACACAGAGUACAAUAUCAUUUAUAUAACUGAAAACAUGCAAAAACAAAACUGUAUGUGUAAUAAAAACAUACUUAGGAAUAAUGAACAUAAAACUUGAAACUAAGCUGAGAAUCACAAACAGCAAAUUUAAGAUAACAGUUACCUCUGAGGAGAGAAUGGGUGAAAAAGGAUAGGAAAGGGUACCCAAGGUAUUGUGAUUAGAUGUGCUAGGUUUUGUUUCUUUUGUGUACUGGGUACAUGAGUAUUCAUUAUAUUAUACCUAAUAUCGUAAGGCCUGAAAUAUUUCAUUAAAAAAAUUGAGUGUCAUACAGAGUGAAGUAAGUCAGAAGGAGAAAUACAAAUACCGUAUGCUAACUCAUACAUAUGGAAUCUAAAAAAAAAAAAAUGGUUCUGAAGAACCUAGGGGCAGGACAGGAAUAAAGACGCAGACAUAGAGAAUGGACUUGAGGACACGGGAAGGGGGAAGGGGAAGCUGGGACGAAGUGAGAGAGUGGCAUGGACAUAUGUACACUACCAAUUGUAAAAUAGAUAGCUAGAGGGAAGCAGCUGCAUAGCACAAGGAGAUCAGCUCCGUGCUUUGUGUCCACCUAGAAGGGUGGGAUAGGGAGGGUGGGAGGGAGACGCAAGAGGGAGGAGAUAUGGGGAUAUAUGUGUAUGUAUAGCUGAUUCACUUUGUUAUAAAGCAGAAACUAAUGCACCAUUGUAAAGCAAUUAUACUCCAAUAAAGAUAAAAAAAAAGACUGAA